GACGAACGCUGGCGGCGUGCUUAACACAUGCAAGUCGAACGAAGUGGGAACGGGUGAGUAAUACGUGGGUUACCUCCCUCCUUUUUGGGAUAAGCCUUGGAAACGGGGUCUAUACCGAAUAGUUGGGCUCGCGGCCUAUCGGCUGGUUGGUGGUGUGAUGGCAUACCAAGGCGGUGACGGGUGGCGGGCCUGGGGGGGUGACCGGCAAAAUUGGGACUGGGAUACGCCCCAGACCCUUAGGGGAGGCGGCGGUGGGGGAUAUUGCACAAUGGGCGAAGGCCUGAUGCAGCAACGCCGCGUGAGGGAAGAAGGUUUCCGGAUCGUAAAACUCUGUUGUUAGGGAAGCGGUAUCUAACCAGAAAGCCACGGCUAACUACGGGCCAGCAGCCGCGUAAUUC
rnacentral:rRNA from 1 species